rnacentral:rRNA from 1 species
UACGGAGGGUGCAAGCGUUAUCCGGAAUCAUUGGGUUUAAAGGGUCCGUAGGCGGGCUAUUAAGUCAGAGGUGAAAUCCCACAGCUUAACUGUGGAACUGCCUUUGAUACUGGUAGUCUUGAGUUAUAUGGAAGUAGAUAGAAUAUGUAGUGUAGCGGUGAAAUGCAUAGAUAUUACAUAGAAUACCAUAUGAAGGCAGAUUACUAAUAAUCAAUUGACACUGAUGGACGAAAGCGUGGGGAGCGAACAG